UUUUUUCCUUUGUAGUUUUUGGAGUAGGACUGGGAACAGACUCUUUAAACACUUUCGAGCAUCUCUAAUCAUUCUUCGAGAAAUUUUCAGUUUGCCAAGAGUAUGCCCGGGUACCAAGCGUCAUAAUACAAUUGAUUAUAAACUUUUUUAUUUUCAAAUUUUCAACCAGUUAUAUUAUGUUACUUGAUGCACCGUGCAUCAUCCAUUUUCUCUUCACACUAAAAAUCUCUCUCAUCCUUCCUAUUUUGAAGUUAAAUUAAAUUUUAGCUAAACUUCAACUGGACUUUCUGGUUGUCUGUUAAUUAAAAAAGGAUACUUUGGACUUUCUAGUUGUAUGCUAAUUAAAAAGAGUUUGUUUAGAUUCAGUCCAAAACUCUAAUUUGUUUUCUAAAUUGAGUCUAAUUGUAACAUACCUAAAUGAUAUUCAGUCCAAAACUCUAAUUUGUUUUCUAAAUUGAGUCUAAUUGUAACAUACCUAAAUGAUAAUAAGACUAAAAAUAUUUCAACCGAAAUAUAUUUAAGAUAGUAUUGAAUAGGGGUGUGCUAUCCACACACUCCUGUUUACUUCUCACACAUACCUUGUUAAUUUAUGUCCAUUGAUCUUCUUCAAUUCAUCCGAUCCGACGACAAAAAACAAAAAAAAAAUGUGGGAGAAGUAAAAAUGAGUGUGUGGAUAUCACACCCCUAUUGAAUAUAACUAAUUAUAAAGGGGUAGAUUAUAAGCAAAAAAUAUCUAUAAUAUAGGCAACUGUUGUAAACUUUUCUAGUUUAUGUGUGAUUGUGUAAAUCCUAAAUUAGAUUUGAUUAUGGUUAUUUUUUCCUAUUAGGACUUGUAUUCCUUGGAGGAGAA
rnacentral:lncRNA from 1 species